rnacentral:rRNA from 1 species
GAGUUUUUGAACGCAAGUUGCGCCCUAGUGUCCAUCCGGCCAAGGGCACGCCUGCCUGGGCGUCACGC